GACUUGAAACCGUUCAGGGGUAAACCUGAGAAACCCGAAAGGUCKAACGGGGAGAUUCACCGCGUUUCGUGACCGAAGUUCGGCGCAUGCGCGACCGACUGCCGUUCGCGGUCGUCGGCGCCGUACGCCUUACGCAAUGUCGGUACCGAACGCGUGCACUUCUCCCCUAGUAGGACGUCGCGAUCCGUUGGUCGCCGGCCUAAGGCUCGCGGUGGAGACCGCACGGGACGGCUCGCGCCGUUAACCUGUGCGGACCCGCGGUGUCCCGGUCGGCUCGUCCGACGGUAUACAGAUGGCGCUGGGCCGCGACAUUAGUUCGCGUCCGGCCUUCGGCAAGCACGUUGCGAGCUCCGACGAUCGGGCCUAGUACCGAUCCCGGUCUCCGACGUCUGUUGGCCGCUUGGUUCUCGGACAGACCCAGUCGAAACGCCGAUCUGCGACGCCGUAGCUUUGGGUACUUUCAGGACCCGUCUUGAA
rnacentral:rRNA from 1 species